UCUCUCUCUGCUAACCAGUGGUCAAACGCUUGAUGUCCGUCAGAAGAGGCAGAAGAUGAGAAGUCAGAGGCAGCAGAGCGCUACAACAUAACUAUGAGACAGGAACAGCGUGGUUAUUCCACAUGAACGAGGCGUGUUGUUCCACAUGAACGAGGCGUGUUGUUCCACAUGAACGAGGCGUGUUGUUCCACAUGAACGAGGAGUGUUGUUCCACAUGAACGAGGCGCGUGGUUCCACAUAAACGAGGCGUGUUGUUCCACAUGAACGAGGCGUGUUAUUCCACAUGAACGAGGAGUGUUGUUCCACAUGAAAGAGGCGUGUUGUUCCAUGAACGAGGCGUGUUGUUCCACAUGAACGAGGCGUGUUGUUCCAUGAACGAGGCGUGUUGUUCCACAUGAACGAGGCGUGUUGUUCCACAUGAACGAGGCGUGUUGUUCCACAUGAAUGAGGCGUGUUGUUCCACAUGAACGAGGCGUGUUGUUCCAUGAAUGAGGCGUGUUGUUCCACAUGAAUGAGGCGUGUUGUUCCACAUGAACGAGGCGUGUUGUUCCAUGAAUGAGGCGUGUGGUUCCACAUGAACAAGGCGUGUUGUUCCACAUGAACGAGGCGUGUUGUUCCACAUGAACGAGGCGUGUUGUUCCAUGAACGAGGCAUGUUGUUCCACAUGAACAAGGCGUGUUGUUCCACAUGAUCGAGGCGUGUGGUUCCACAUGAACGAGGCGUGUUGUUCCACAUGAACGAGGCGUGUUGUUCCACAUGAUCGAGGCGUGUUGUUCCACAUGAAUUAGGCGUGUUGUUCCACAUGAAUGAGGCGUGUUGUUCCACAUGAACGAGGCGUGUUGUUCCACAUGAAUGAGGCGUGUUGUUCCACAUGAACGAGGCGUGUUGUUCCACAUGAAUGAGGCGUGUUGUUCCACAUGAACGAGGCGUGUUGUUCCAUGAACGAGGCGUGUUGUUCCACAUGAUCGAGGCGUGUUGUUCCAUGAAUGAGGCGUGUUGUUCCAUGAACGAGGCGUGUUGUUCCAUGAACGAGGCGUGUUGUUCCAUGAACGAGGCGUGUUGUUCCAUGAUCGAGGUGUGUUGUUCCACAUGAAUGAGGCGUGUUGUUCCACAUGAACGAGGCGUGUUGUUCCACAUGAACGAGGCGUGUUGUUCCACAUGAACGAGGCGUGUUGUUCCACAUGAACGAGGCGUGUUGUUCCACAUGAACGAGGCGUGUUGUUCCACAUGAACGAGGCGUGUUGUUCCACAUGAACGAGGCGUGUUGUUCCACAUGAACGAGGCGUGUUGUUCCACAUGAACGAGGCGUGUUGUUCCACAUGAAAGCCUCCGUGUCAGUGUUCUUUAAUAUCCAACACUUUGACCUUUUUCAUCACGAUAAUGUGAAGGACAGAACCCACCUCAACCUUCACCAGAACACAUCACGUCCCUCAGCCGAUUAGCUCAUGGUUAUUGCUGUAGACUGAUGUCUACGGUCUGGACACUGCUGUGAGAACAGAUCACAUCAUCUCUGUUCAGAGUAGAGGAGAUGUGGUGAGAGAGAUGAUGAUAUGAGUGUGUCUGUGUGUGUGGUUGUGUGUGCGUGUGUGUGUGUGUGUGUGUGUGUGCAUGUGUGUGUGUGUGUGUGUGGU
ensembl:lncRNA